rnacentral:rRNA from 1 species
GACGAACGCUGGCGGCGUGCUUAACACAUGCAAGUCGAACGGAAAGGCCCUGCUUGCAGGGUGCUCGAGUGGCGAACGGGUGAGUAACACGUGGGUGAUCUGCCCCUUACUUUGGGAUAAGCCUGGGAAACUGGGUCUAAUACUGGAUAGGACCAUGCUGUAGGUGGUGUGGUGGAAAGAUUAGUUUCGGUAAGGGAUGAGCUCGCGGCCUAUCAGCUUGUUGGUGGGGUAAUGGCCUACCAAGGCGUCGACGGGUAGCCGGCCUGAGAGGGUGGACGGCCACAUUGGGACUGAGAUACGGCCCAGACUCCUACGGGAGGCAGCAGUGGGGAAUAUUGCACAAUGGGCGCAAGCCUGAUGCAGCGACGCCGCGUGGGGGAUGACGGCCUUCGGGUUGUAAACUCCUUUCAGCCAUGACGAAGCCCUUGUGGUGACGGUAGUGGUAGAAUAAGCACCGGCUAACUACGUG